GCAAGCGGGACAUUUGAGGAUGGGGUGACUGCGUACCUUUUGUAUAAUGGGUCAGCGACUUAUAUUCUGUAGCAAGGUUAACCGUAUAGGGGAGCCGUAGGGAAACCGAGUCUUAACUGGGCGAAUGAGUUGCAGGGUAUAGACCCGAAACCCGGUGAUCUAUCCAUGGGCAGGUUGAAGGUUGGGUAACACUAACUGGAGGACCGAACCGACUAAUGUUGAAAAAUUAGCGGAUGACUUGUGGAUGGGGGUGAAAGGCCAAUCAAACCGGGAGAUAGCUGGUUCUCCCCGAAAGCUAUUUAGGUAGCGCCUCGUGAACUCAUCUUCGGGGGUAGAGCACUGUUUCGACUAGGGGGUCAUCCCGACUUACCAACUCGAUGCAAACUGCGAAUACCGAAGAAUGUUAUCACGGGAGACACACGGCGGGUGCUAACGUCCGUCGUGAAGAGGGAAACAACCCAGACCGCCAGCUAAGGUCCCAAAGUCAUGGUUAAGUGGGAAACGAAGUGGGAAGGCUCAGACAGCCAGGAUGUUGGCUUAGAAGCAGCCAUCAUUUAAAGAAAGCGUAAUAGCUCACUGGUCGAGUCGGCCCGCGCGGAAGAUGUAACGGGGCUAAACCAU
rnacentral:rRNA from 1 species